rnacentral:tRNA from 1 species
GCCGGAAUAGCUCCAACUGGUAGAGCAAGUCAUUCGUAAUGACGAGGUUGGGAGUUCGAUCCUCCCUUCCGGCACCA